rnacentral:lncRNA from 1 species
UGCGCUUGGUGGCAGUGACAGUGUCCCAGGGCAGCAGAGUCAUGGAUCCCUGAAAAGUGGCCGGGCCUCAUUUCCUUCCCCAACCCCGAGAUUUCCUCAUCUGCCACACCACUUCCGGUGGGCGGGAUGUGUGGACUGGCAGGCAGGCCAGCAGGCUACGUGCCAUGGAGCCUUGGAGACUGAUGUGAAGCAGCAGGUCACCAUGCAGAAGGCGAACUUCAAAGACAAGUGCCGGGGGGAGCCGGGCAACAGCAAAGACACCGGUGAUCCUGAGUAUGAGAACAUCACCCUGACCUUCCGAGAGCGGGACCAGCCCAAGGGCAGUCAUCCAGGACCCAUGAAAUGCGCCCCUGCCCAGCCCAAGUCACCUUCGGGCAGUGCCCAGGUCCCUGCGUGGCUGCAGCGGUCCAUCAUGAGCCUGUACGUGCUCCUCGCCCUCAUGUUCCUCUUCUGCAUCAUCCUCUCCGCCUUGGUCUUGGUGAAGAACACUGAGAUGUCCAGGGAGAUGCUGCACUUGAGAAGGGAACUUUCCAAUGUCUCAAACUCGGCGUUGGAGUGCCAGGAAGAGCAAAGGAAUGGCUGGAGCAAGGUCCACAGUGACAUCGAGAAAGCCACCAACAGCAUCACCAAGGCCUUGAAUCCUAUCGAUACUAAGAACCAGCAAGUGCUCACAGAAAUAACAAAAAUCACACAGAAGAUACAGAAAAUCCACGAGGCACUGGAGAAGAAGACAAAUGCAGCACCUGCGUCUAAAUAAGAGCACACGGCAGUCACAGUUUGGAGGACAGGAUUCAUGACUGCUCAGGCGAUGGAGCAUGGAUGGGUUCCCCAGCCUAGUUGAACCUGCGCCUCGUUCUAUGGCUGGAAAACAAUGCAUCAGGGUGAAUGAGGGCUGUGGCGUUGUGCAUGUGUGUGCCUGUGUGUGUGAACAUGAAAGAGCACUUUAUGGAGAAUGUCCCUGCAUCCUAAGGAAUGGGUGUGAAUGUAUGUUGUGUCUGUGUCAUUACAUGUGACACACACGUAUAUGCCAUGACAUAUGUGAGCACAGGUAUUUCUCAGUGGGUGUCUGUGUAAGGACCCCACUAGUGUGUGUGUUGGUGCUAUGUGACACCCCUCUCCCUGUCAGCACACACAGCUAGGAGCACACUGUGCAGCUCACUCGGGUGUCGCCAUGUCUGCCCUGUCCCUCCCUGUGCCUGUGUGAAUGGGUGUGUCCGACUAUGUCAUCCUGUGUGUUCAGAUCACACACACACACAGGAGUGUGUAUACUUAUUCCUGAACUCACGCUUUGUGACUAAUAAAAAAAUAAAAAUGUAUGGAAAACAAUG